UUCGUUUCCCAGAGUUAGGAGUCUUUAUGUUCUUUCUUAUAUAUAUUAGAUCUUUGUUCAAGGCUCCUUACUCAAAGCUCCCCAAACCCUUGGCAUUUCCUAAGUGUUGAGAGUGAUCAAGGUAUCUUUUGUUUCGUGAAUGAGGUAAAUUUUGGAAAGCCCCCUAGGUAACCUGAGGAUGGUGCUUCCACCACCCCUAGUUCGUUUCCCAGAGUUAGGAGUCUUUAUGUUCUUUCUUAUAUAUAUUAGAUCUUUGUUCAAGGCUCCUUACUCAAAGCUCCCCAAACCCUUGGCAUUUCCUAAGUGUUGAGAGUGAUCAAGGUAUCUUUUGUUUCGUGAAUGAGGUAAAUUUUGGAAAGCCCCCUAGGUAACCUGAGGAUGGUGGCUGGCUGCCUGGAGAGCCAACGCUGUGGUUAGAGGGUUGGAACCUUCUGUCCCACCAAUGACCCUCCCAGGAAAGAGAGGGGCUAGAUUGAGUGCAAUCACCAUCGCCCGAUGACUUAAUCAAUCAUGCCUGCGUAAUGAAGCCUCCAGAAAAUUCCAAAAGGAUAGGCUUCUAGUUUCUAGAGUUGGUGGACAUUGGUGGUCUGAGCAGAUAGGCUGCCUGGGGUGGGCUUGGCAGCCUUAUCCCCUUCCCCCACACCAUGCCCUGUGCAUCCCUUCCAUGGAGCUCUUCCUGAGUUACAUCCUUUUAAAAUAAAUGGGUGGAUCUAGUGANGGUUUUCCUGGGUUUUGGGAGCACUCCAGCAAAUUAAUUGAACCCAAGGAGGAGGCCAUGGGAACCUCUGAUUUAUAGCCAGUUUGUCAGAAGCACAGGAAACAACCUGGACUUGCAACUGGCAUCUGAAGUGGAGGUGGGGAGAUAUUUCGCAGGACUGAACACUUACCCUAUGGAAUCUGAUGGUGUCAUGGUGGAAUCUGAUGGUGUCACAGUGGGGUUAGCUGGAAUUGCAGAGACUUGCUCGGGGGCCCUGGGGACUCCUGCCUCCACCCCCCAACACAGUGGGAUUGGGUCCAGAACCCUCUUUAAGCGAACAGGUUUCACGGUGCUUCACGGUGCAUAUCUACUACCGAUAAACAGCCCCUCCACUUCCAGGUAGUCUGCGGGACCCGUAGCUUUUAUACUUCUUAAAGUGCCAUCCUGAUGAUACUAUGAUGUGCCACUGCAUCCGCCAGGCCCUCUAUACCAUCUGACCAAGAGAUACUCCUUGGUAUCUCUGAAUCUCAGCUUCCAUGGUGAAAUUGCUUUUGUUGUAAGUGAUUUCAUAUUUAAGAGGAAAAUAAUUCAUUGUAAUAAUCUCCCAAAUCUGUGUGAUUCUGAUAGAACAUCUGGAAAAUGUG
ensembl:lncRNA